rnacentral:sRNA from 1 species
ACCUUUUGAGCUAUAUAUAUAUUCAGCAAUCAAGAGUGUUACAUUCCUUUACUAUAAUUUCUCGAAAAACCUAGAAAAUCUAACACAUAAACGAUUCCCUGGCGGCCCACCCCCUUUUUUUGAUUCCUUCAUGCACCGUCUGGACCUUGUGAAGCACAGUUGCUCAGUGGCAUGUUAAAUAUUAACUACCAACCUGGUAUAAAAGUGGUGUCCUUACGGCCGUAACAUUUGGAUAUACGUGCCAUUAGCCGCGGAGCUUGUUUUCAAUUUCUACCUUUUUUUCCCUGUCAAGUAAAACUUCUCCUUUCUGGAUAUAUUGUCAAGCAAUUGAUGUUAAACCGUUUCCCUUCACCCUAUUUUCCGUCUAUUAUACCAUUUAUUUAACGUUUCCAUUUUGCAUUGUGUCUCGGCAAGGUGGCUUCGGCUUCACAACUUCGCGAACAGCGAACGCCAUGUCUGCCUCGGGUACUUGGCUUUCACCACUAUGGGACUACCGAUAUACGUCCCCCACCCCCGAACAGCUCCGUGAGCGGCGCGAGCUCCUCACGUUACGUGGUCAAUAUGCUCAGCUAUCCACCUUGCUCCUGAUUUUGUUCUUCAGCGCCUAUAGAUUGUGCGCACGACGGAUCAGAAGCAGCGGCAGAGGCAAAAACCAAGAUGCCAAGUCAUCCUCAUUGCCAUUAUCAGUAUGGCUAGAUUCUCCACUCAUGCGCAGUGGGGCCGAGACGAGGAGACAGUAUCUCGUCGCGACGGUAUGGAUGGCGUGGUUGCUUGCGCUUUCGGCUUGGAGGACGGGUAAUGACUACCUUCACUUCACCAAAUCGUUGGGCCACACCGCCCUCGCCACAAUCCCCUUCAACCUUCUGCUCUCCCCCAAACUCUCCACAACAACCCACCCCUUCAACCUCGUCUGCUCCCACCUCCUCCACCUGCCUCAGACCCAUUUAACCCCCUACCAUCGCCUCUUCGGCCGGCUAGUCAUUCCCACGCUCAUCUCCCUGCACUCAGCGCUGUAUCUCAUGUUCUUCGUGGAAAAUGGGGUGCUGGAGAAGAGGCUCAAUGACCC